rnacentral:rRNA from 1 species
AGUGAACGCUGGCGGUAGGCCUAACACAUGCAAGUCGAACAGCAGCACAGUAAGAGCUUGCUCUUACGGGUGGCGAGUGGCGGACGGGUGAGGAAUACAUCGGAAUCUACUUUUUCGUGGGGGAUAACGUAGGGAAACUUACGCUAAUACCGCAUACGACCUACGGGUGAAAGCAGGGGAUCUUCGGACCUUGCGCGGUUGAAUGAGCCGAUGUCGGAUUAGCUAGUUGGCGGGGUAAAGGCCCACCAAGGCGACGAUCCGUAGCUGGUCUGAGAGGAUGAUCAGCCACACUGGAACUGAGACACGGUCCAGACUCCUACGGGAGGCAGCAGUGGGGAAUAUUGGACAAUGGGCGCAAGCCUGAUCCAGCCAUACCGCGUGGGUGAAGAAGGCCUUCGGGUUGUAAAGCCCUUUUGUUGGGAAAGAAAAGCAGCAGGUUAAUACCCCGCUGUUCUGACGGUACCCAAAGAAUAAGCACCGGCUAACUUCGUG